CCCCGACACCCGGUCGCCAGCGCUGCGCCCCGCGGGCUCUCGGGGCCCGACCUGGCCGCGGGCCCGCCUCCUGCUCCGGGCUCCCCACGACCGGGGGGACGGAGGAAAGGAGGAAGGAAGGAAAGAGAGCCGCCGCCAUUAGCAAAGCAGCCCUGCCCGGCUGGGCCCGCCUGCCAGACCAGCCCGGCCCAGCCGCGACGGGCUCGAAGCCUGUAAAGAAAACUGGUGUUUGGGAGGAGGAGCGAGCGCGGCCGGGAGGACAGCAGCUCCGGGCUGCGGGCGGAGAUGCUGCGUCAUGGUGCCAACAUGGACGCCGGCCUUUUGUCCUCCUUCGCGUUGCCAGCGCAGGCGCGCCCCGGAGCCCCGAGAAGCCGGCUUCGGGGUGCGGAAUCCUCACGAUCGAAAGGAAAGUGGGCCCAAGGCUGGGCGAUGAGGCUCCCUAGUGUUUUAAGCCCCCCCGUCUCCAAAGCACUUCAAUUUCUUCUCCCCAUCCAGGUUCAGACCUGGGAAGAGCGAGGGGGCGAAGGCAGGCGGCUCCAUGGACCCCCGAGGGUCGCUGCGAAGCCCGUCUUCUCGCCCUUGGGGCAGAAGAGGCACAGGGGUCCGAAGAGCCCUUCGUGUCCCAACCCCCCGCCCACUGCCCGCUCCGGCUGCCAAAUACAAUGCUCCAGAAUCCUCCUUCUCCUCUCAGCUCCCAAACACUUGCAGCCCUUGCUUGGCCUGCAAAAGGGUUUCCUCGAAGGGGCAAAAGGCACUUUUUAUCUUUCUUACUUACCCGCUCAGCCCGGUGCCAUGGAGUCUAGAAGAUCAAGCUGGGCGGUGGUUUUGGAGACGUUAUUGUAAAAACAUAUAUAUUUUUUGAUUUAGUUGGGAAAUUUGGGGGUUAUGGUGGUGUCUUUGUUCUUAUUACCUUUUUGUAAGUUACACCCUCACGUUCUGCUCCUUCCACUUCUGCAAACUUUCCAGGGUUGGGUAGGCAAAAAGGCGGCUUCGCUGAGGACUGUUUACUGCUCUGGAUAUAGCAAUGGUGUGAUCGUCAUUAAGAGACAAAAGGCGAAAAUACAGUCAAAUCAAACAAAAGGCACAAGACGCACCAGCCGCCCAACCACCAUAGAAAAUACCCCCCACUUAACGUUGGUGUUUGCUGGAACCAGCUAGGACUUGUUUUCCAGUUUUAAUCUAGUUUCCUGUGACGGCUUUAGUCUCUCUACACAAAGAAAAGGUCUUCCUUUCCCUCACCCACCAGCUCCCCCCAACCCCCAACACCAAAGACGAGAAAAACAGGGCUGUUUUUCUUCAAAUAGAUCGAUUUUCAAAGAAAGUGUACAAGCUACGGGGAAGAAAGCUGACUAGCAUUUAGUGCUGUAAACAUUUUCAAAAGCAUAAAGCUAGAACCUUAGCUUUAUAAAGCAAGAUCGUCUCAAGCAUCUUAACUGGCUUAUAUUAGACAAGAGAGACAAAGACAUACAUGCAGAUGAAGGUUCGGAAAAUUAAGGACAUCUCAGCAACAUUAACAUCAAAACUGUACUGCGUCAGGACAGAAUGGAUUGGGUACUUACAAUGUAAAAGGUUUUUUAAAAACUAAAAGAGUAACAACUGCUCACAAUUUUUUGUUGCUGCCAUUUCGCUAGUCCUAAAGCUAUAUACAUUUAAAACAUUACCUUGUUAAAAAGAGAGAAGGAGUUAAUAAGAUGGCCAGGUUUAAGUGUUUAAUAGAGGAAACUAGAUAUAUUUAAAAAUUUAUUGUUCAGUCAAGAGAAUACAGAUUAAGACAGCUCCAAGCUCCCCCCACCCACCCAUAGAACAAAAAGAGGAAAAAAAAUAUGUCAUUUACUUAGGUUUUUUUGGAAUUCAAAACUGUUAACUGCUGACAUGAAUGGUGUGCUAUGACCUAGUUAUACAAGACAAAGAUGGAUUCCAAGUCAUAAGGAAAAAUCCAGAUCUUUUUAAAAAGUCUUCUCCAGUCUUCCAACUGUGAGUCCUUGGGCCUGUUGACAAAUGUUAAACACACUGAGACGUCCUGAACUGGAUGGUAGAGUCAAAGGAAAAACAUUCCCCAUUUGCAACAAAGGAAAAACCCACUUGGCCAUUUAAUUCCAUUGCAGAAAAAUGGCUUCCCUCAUCUGUUGGCCUCUCCUUCGUGUCUGAUGAAGGAUGUUUUGAGAUCAGCGUCUAAUAACUCAAGCCCUAUAGAAGCCGCGCGCUGAUUGGCUGCCGCGCCCUGCCGCCCUGCUCCAGCCAAUUACCUACCCACGGCCAAAUUACAAACCCCGAAAAGAGCCCCAAUAUGAGCUACACCAGCUCCGAGCCCCGGCGAGGCGGCUCCUGCGCCUCGGCCGCCAGAGAGGAGCGGCAGAGGGGGCUGCAAACGCGUCCUCGCGAAGCCCGGGAGCCUCGGAGUUGAACUCACAAAAUGGAAGCCGCGCGCUGAUUGGCCGCCGCCACUCCCGGACCUUUAAUAAAGAAAGGGGAAGGAAAAGAUAAAUGCAAAAAAGGGGGACUCUCUCCUCCGCGGGUGGCUGGAGGAAGGGGGGGAAGCAUGUGUUCAGGACAAUUACAGGGCGCUCCCCUCCAAAAAUAAAAACAGAAGAAGGCGUCUAUCGCCCAGGUCCAGGCGAGGGCUGCAUCCUCCCAGGAAUGCGAAUGCUAACGUGGUGAACCCUGGUCUCCCUUCCCCAGCUCAGCUCCGGGGAGGGGGUCGCGGGCCGCAGGAGGAAGCCGGAGCGCAGAUACCUCGAUUGCAACUCCUCUGAGUCGACGCCGGCCUCCCCCCGCGGCUCCCAGCGUCCACACACACCCUCGGCCCCCCAGACCCCAGCCAUCUCCCCGGGCCCCGCGCGCCCGCCUCCGGCCCGGGCAGUUUGGAAACAGUUUUGCAGGCCCGGGACGCACGCCGCGGCGGUCGCGGCUCUGAGGGUAGUCCCGGCCGCGGGAGGUAGAGCCCGGGGAGACCCCCUCCCCCGCCAGCCAAGACCCCCACCCCAGUCCCAGAAAAAUAAAUAAAUUAAAAGGCCUUCCCCCGGGGAGGGGGAGG
ensembl:lncRNA novel transcript